CCACAAACAGCCGGCCCUAACCCUUCGUCCCUUCCCUGACCUUGAGACGGUGAGACCCUCAGACCGACGGACCCUGACCCCCGGCUUCAUCCUUCAACAGCUCAGCUCCAUCGUCUGUCCUCACUCCUCGCUGUGUUCAGGUGUUCCCUGAGCUCCCUGCGCAGGCAUUAUCACACCAUCGCGGUUCGUGGCGGCGCGCUCCAGUUCCACUUCUCUCUGAGCUGCCUCUCGUCGUCGGUCAGUCAUGUCGCCGGUCGCUGUUUCAUCUCGCCAGUCCUCACCAAAUUGAAGUCCCGGCGAUGCUGUCUCGUGUUGCCUCUACGCUGUCUCGGCGGUUCUGUGUUCCGGCGGAUCCCGGCGGCGCUCCUCUCUCCUCCUCUGCCUCUCGACGGCUAUUCACUGGUACGCCAAAUCAAAGGAACAAUGACAAGUCUUCAGUGCUGACGUGUGCACCAAACACACCCUCCCAAAGAAGUAAAAUUUAUUGAACAACUGCUCUUUCAUCAGCUCACCAAGCAAGAAAAAUCCACUCUUUCAAUCUCAAUUCCAUGUUUCUCCAUUCAUAGCAACAAACUAAGCACCAUUUCACUGCAAUUCUGAUUCUGGAUUUGGUGAGGAAAAGGAAGUGAAUGAUGGUAUUGAUGAUAGAGGCAUGAUUAUGAAUUGAAGUGUGUUGUGGAGAAGAAAUGAGUGUGAGGCAUGCUUCGGUUCACCCAAUUGAUGAAGUUCCAACUACUGAAGGCGGCGGCGCUGAUCAAAACAACAACAACAACAAUAUAACAAUAAUAACAACAUUAACCCUCCUGCAAGGGUGAGGAUGAAGGAUAUUCAAGGCAUGCCAGGCACAUCCAGUGGCCUAUGUCUGUGGGUGUCUCAGUUUAUCUUCACUGCGGCUGCGCUUGCCAUCAUGGUGUCUACUAGUGAUUUCCCUUCUGUAACUGCCUUCUGGUAAUCAAUUAUCAACCAAAUUUGGACUGCUGUUAUGAAUAUCCCCAGAACCCGUUGUGGUUCAAAAGUCAAUAAACAAUGGAAUGAAGCACAGCACAUCUUGAGAUAAGAGUGACGGAAAAGUAACUAAUAAGUAAGCAUUUGUGUUCUGUUCGAAGUGCAAUUUUUGUUAUGAAUUAAAUAUUAUUUGUGUACGAACUAAUACAAAGCAGAUUUAAGUGCACAAUAGGGAGAGAUGGAGAAGAGAGUAGAAUCGGUGAGAGCGAGAGUGAGAAGGGUAAUCGAGAUAUAGUAGGUAGGUUUUCCCUCUCCUAUAUAACUCAAAAAAAUGCUCGAACAAAGAAAGAAGUGGUUGAUAAAAUACUAAAAUAAUAAUUAAAAAAAGAAGGGUUUAGACAAAUAAAAAAAUACAUAUCAUGACUGCAAGUCAAUAAUUUAUUACCGCGUCACCGUCACCGUCUCUUCAUCCCUUGACUCAUUUUACCUAUCUUUCUUUAGAUCCCUUCCUUCUUUCACCUUCUUUCAUUAAUGGAGUCUUAUUCUUCCAAGAAAAAUUCUCUUUCUUGGAACUUUAUAUGUUUGUAGCGUUUUUUCUGAUCGUCUCCGUUAUUAUUUCCAUUCAUUUUACGAUCACCACCACCACCAAAGAUGGCUUCUCAAUGCCUAUCACUGGAACCUGUGAUACGUGUUCGAAUGAACGGCAUUGGUAUCACAAUUCAUGAACCACCCACCCAGUAACCAAUAGCCACUACAACUGAAGUGGCAAAUGAAGAACAUUUUGAUGUUAUUGCAAGAUUCACCAUAGGAGAUGGUGAACUUGCAGAGGUGGAAGUUGUGGUGGACACUGGAAGUGAGAUUUUGUGAGUCUCGAUAAAUUUUCUCGAGGGCGUUUUAAAACUCAAGAAACUUUUACUGCCAUGAGCUACGGUGUGACCGCCUAGGAAUUCACUGUAAAUUUUGCACUCUUGUAAGCGUCUAUUAUAGGUUUCGACAAGGAGGCUUAGUUACAGAAGGCUUUCUUUUUUAGAACACUAGGGGUACUCUCCUGGAUCUAGGAGAAAUCAACUUU